rnacentral:lncRNA from 1 species
UCGGCAUUAACAACGAAUAAACACAAUCGAUAAACUUUUCCUCUUGAAGAAAAAAGAAACCCCAACCUCCACAUUGUCUAACACAAAAAUAAAAUCUUUACCAAUCCCUAGUACUUAUCGAAAUAGAACAACGAAAUAGAAUUGGAAAAGAAUAGAGUUACAAGCAGAACCGAAUUGACAAUAGGUAGAACAAGAACCAAGACAGAACUUAAAUCUUUGCUAGGGAACAACAUGAAAAAUAGCAAAAAUAAUGAUUGGAACAAACAACAAAGAGAGAAAAAAGAAAAAAAAGAAAACUUGAAGAAAGUGGGCAGAUUUCUAGGGAAAAGAUUAAAAUAAAACAAAAAAAUAAAAUAAAAUCUUUAAAAGAUAAUAUAUUACUAGCAUUUUAAAAUAAAACCAACUCCUAACCAAAUAACUUCCUGGCAACCUAUUAUUUUUUUGCAAGAGUUUAAAUACAAUUCUAC